rnacentral:rRNA from 1 species
CACCGCGGUUAUACGAGAGGCCCUAGUUGUUAAAUACCGGCGUAAAGGGUGGUUAAGGAGAGCAAAGAUAAAGCCAAAGGGCCUCUUGGCCGUCAUACGCUUACUGAGUGUCCGAAGCCCAAAAACGAAAGUAGCUUUAAUAUAGCCCACCUGACCCCACGAAAACUGAGAAA